UACGUAGGGGCUAGCGUUAUCCGGAAUUACUGGGCGUAAAGGGUGCGUAGGUGGUUUCUUAAGUCAGAGGUGAAAGGCUACGGCUCAACCGUAGUAAGCCUUUGAAACUGGGAAACUUGAGUGCAGGAGAGGAGAGUGGAAUUCCCGGUGUAGCGGUGAAAUGCGUAGAGAUCGGGAGGAACACCAGUGGCGAAGGCGGGUAACUGGACUGCAACUGACGCUGAGGCGCGAAAGUGUGGGGAGCAAAACAGGAUUAGAUACCCGUGUAGUCCCUGAGCGGGCU
rnacentral:rRNA from 1 species